GACGAACGCUGGCGGCGUGCCUAAUACAUGCAAGUUGAGCGAUGAAGAUUGGUGCUUGCACCAAUUUGAAGAGCAGCGAACGGGUGAGUAACGCGUGGGGAAUCUGCCUUUGAGCGGGGGACAACAUUUGGAAACGAAUGCUAAUACCGCAUAACAACUUUAAACAUAAGUUUUAAGUUUGAAAGAUGCAAUUGCAUCACUCAAAGAUGAUCCCGCGUUGUAUUAGCUAGUUGGUGAGGUAAAGGCUCACCAAGGCGAUGAUACAUAGCCGACCUGAGAGGGUGAUCGGCCCCAUUGGGACUGGGACACGGCCCAAACUCCUACGGGAGGCAGCCGUAGGGAAUCUUCGGCAAUGGACGAAAGUCUGACCGAGCAACGCCGCGUGAGUGAAGAAGGUUUUCGGAUCGUAAAACUCUGUUGGUAGAGAAGAACGUUGGUGAGAGUGGAAAGCUCAUCAAGUGACGGUAACUACCCAGAAAGGGACGGCUAACUACGUG
rnacentral:rRNA from 1 species